rfam:Danio rerio chromosome 4, GRCz11 reference primary assembly.
GACUUGUUAGUCUAGGGGUAUGAUUCUCGCUUAGGUUGCGAGAGGUCUUGGGUUCAAAUCCUGCAUGAGUCC